GGCGAAGGUGCCAGGCCAGGGCUUAAGGCUGACUCAUUUGCGAGAAUAAUGUGACCGAAAUCGGAAGCCGUGGGCAGGUCCCAGACAGAGAGGACUCGGAUCCGAUCCCACGUCAUGUUUUUGUACAAACGAACAACAAAAGAUGUAUUCUUGUAGGUCUCGUUAAGCUUAUGAUCGGAGAUGAUAAAACCAUCGGUCAAAUUACCGAAAUCAGAGGCGAGCGCGCCCAACCAGUGCACGUCGGAUCCAGAAAGCAUAUCAAAUUGAGAAACCCUAAAUGAGCAAUCGUCGAUUAUGGUGAACGCUCCACGGAGCUGGUGUUGAACCAUGGUGAAUUGGGAUUGGAAUCCGACAUAGGAGCUCGUCUUUGAACAGGGUUGACCGGGAUCCGCAUGGCAAAAGUGAAAUAAGGAAUUGAAAAGAAACCCUAACACGACAACGAGACGCUUGUUGUGGUACAUGAAGGACCUGAGAUCAGAUCCGGAUCGGAUCACCAAAGGUAGGAUCGGAUUUCGUCGUUUAAUCAGAUAGGAAAUGGAGAACAAAAGGAAAAAAUGAUCUGACCUGCAGUGAGUUGGCGAUGGAAAGGCACCAAAAGAAGAGGCGAAGCGAGCUGACUCAAUAGCAAAAGCGAGUCGCAGGUUCAUGAAACACUUAGAUUUCCAAUUUGGCGGAGCCGAUGGAAGUGAGAGAAAAUGGGAU
rnacentral:misc_RNA from 1 species